rnacentral:lncRNA from 1 species
UAAUCACCAGUUCGAAGGUUGAGUCAAAAACCUAAAGAGAAACAUCCUGUUACAUCGAUUUGGAGGGGUUGGUAUGGCAGAAAGAUUUCAGUCACCUCCAGAGGGCAACGAAUUUUAAAGAAUUCAGUUGUAAAAUACAGAAGAGUCACCCAUAGCGAUAUAAGGAAUAAAUUGGAAGAAGCUGAGUGUUCAGUAUCGAAGUCCACUGUACGCCGAAAUCUGUACAGUAUGGGAUUCAAACAUCAGAGGCCAGUUAAGGAACCAACUAAACAGUCGACUAUCACCAUAAAUGCUCAAAAAACGCUUAGUUUUGCCAAUUUGCAUAAAAACUCUCUUGCAUCAAAAAAAGUCAUAUAAUAUUUAUGCAAACUGGCCGAAACUAAGCGUUUCAUG